rnacentral:rRNA from 1 species
UACGUAGGCAGCAAGCGUUGUUCGGAGUUACUGGGCGUAAAGGGUGUGUAGGCGGUUCUCUAAGUCUGGGGUGAAAUCUCCCGGCUCAACUGGGAGGGUGCGCCGAAAACUGGAGGACUAGAGUGCGGGAUGGGAGAGUGGAAUUCCUGGUGUAGCGGUGAAAUGCGUAGAUAUCAGGAGGAACACCUGUGGUGUAGACGGCUCUCUGGACCGCAACUGACGCUGAGACACGAAAGCGUGGGUAGCAAACAGG